rnacentral:misc_RNA from 1 species
GUGAAUCAUCGAAUCUUUGAACGCACAUUGCGCCCGCCAGUAUUCUGGCGGGCAUGCCUGUUCGAGCGUCAUUUCAACCCUCAAGACCCCUUCGGGGGACUUGGUGUUGGGGACCGGCACAGGGGCCUGCCUGCUUGUCUUGCAGCGCCCUCGCCGCCCCCGAAAUGAAUUGGCGGCCUCGUCGCGGCCUCCCCUGCGUAGUAGCACAACCUCGCAACGGGAACGUGACGGCGGCCACUGCCGUAAAACAACCCCAAUUUUAUUAGAGUUGACCUCGAAUCAGGUAGGAAUACCCGCUGA